AGGAGAAGCAGACGAAGAGAAGUGUGCAGUCCAGGCUUGACACUUUCUUUCACAAGUCUCCAGUACCACCACCUCCCACUCCUAGUCCUGGUAAGGAAUUCUGAACUGUUUUACUAAUUUAUGUGUUUACAUAGUGUACAUAUAAAAUGUGUUAAUUUUUUAAUGUAACAACUAAAUGUUAGAGUAAAUUGUAACUUCAUUAAUUUUCAUCAUUUGUAAUUUUAUUGCAGAAGUGGUGACAGUUCCAGAUCCCCCUGUACUACCUGUGACAGUUCCAGAUCUCCCUGUACUACCUGUGACAGUUCCAGAUCCCCCUGUACCUGGACCCUCUGUAGCAGCCCGUCCACCUGUACUACUACAAUCAGACACCUUUGAUAGUGACAGCAACCCAGAUGACCCUGAGCCUUUCCAUGGUUUUGAUGGCUCGCCCUAUUCAUCAGAUCUAGAUGUUCCCUCAUCAGAGCCCAAAUCAGUUGAUACGAGUAGUAUCACCUCUCC